rnacentral:lncRNA from 1 species
GGUUUAGGGAUGUCAAUGGUAUAGAUACCCGAAAUUUUAUCCGAACCCGGACCCGAAUCCGAAUGAAACGGAUAUAUCCGAUGGAUAUGGAUAUGGAUAUAAAAAAUAGAAGCCCAACGGAUAUAGAUUCGUAUAUGAAUUUUGAUUGUACCCGACCUGAACCCGAACCCGACCCGAGCCCGACCCGAAUCCGAAUUUAUUUUGUAUUAUAUAUAAUAUAUAUAUAUAUAUAUAUAUAUAUAUAAAAAUUUGAUGUUAUAUUUAAAUUUGUAUUUUAAAAUUUUAUAUUUAAUAUAAUAUAUUUUGAAAUAUUGAAAAAAAAUAAUUGUUUCGGGUUCAAAUUUUCCGGUUCGGGUUCGGAUUCGGGUUUCGAAUUUUUGGUCGGGUUCGGAUUUGGAUAUGGAUUUUAAAAUCCGUCGGGUUCGGGUUUGGGUUUGGAUCUCGAGUUUGGAGUCGGGUUCGGGUUCGGGUUCGGGUUUUUAAAAAUCUGCCCCGAAUCCGACCCGUUGACAUCUCUAGGCAGGUCGAAGCUGCGAACCUCAGAUCGGGGGAUAAAAGGCGAACCCACUAUCUGCCGGGCUGUGGAUGGUGCGGAGAAGGAUCACCCGACGCCCGCUUGCCGUUUACAGGUAGAUCGGGCGGCCCGAAUCUCGGAUCGGGGGGAAAAGGCGGACCCAUGACCCGCCGAGCUGCGGAUAGUGCGGAGAAGGGGGGACCUACACCCGCUUACACGACUACCAGGCAUUCUUGGACCGGAUAAGCCCACUCACGACCCACAUUCCCAUCGAAAUCGGCCCACAAUCCUCUUUUACUAUUUUUGUUACUUUUUACAGCUUAAUCCACUGCUUUUUCUACCAUUUACUUUCUAAUACAAUGUAAAAAAGUAUAUAAAAAAUAGAUGUAGCUAACAUGAGGAAUCAAUGAAAUGAAUUAGCAUUUUCUUCUCCCCAAACUUCCUCUUCUCCUCUAAACCCUUCUUCUCCCAAUUCUCCUCUAUCUCUAAUCCCCACUUCUAAUCUCUAUCCCAACUUUUUAUCCCCCUCUCUCUCUCUCUCUGCACUGAUAAUCUCACAAAUUCCCAUCUCUAUUUUUCUAAUUCCCACCUAUCUCUACUCCUACCCCCACACCUCUUCUCCUUACCUUAUCAACAAAUAUCCCGGAUCCGUAUCGGGGGCACUACAAAAAACAAACAAACUACAAAAGUUGCAGUACAAGAUUAAAAGGAAUGACAAAAAGUAAGGAUAAGUUACGCUAUUUUCAGAAGACUGAUGAAUACAUUUAUUUAUUUAUUUAUUUAUAAUUUAUUUAUUUAUUUAUAAUUUAUUUACUUAUUUAUAGUCUUUUUGCAUAAAAAAUUCACUAGUUUUGGGCUUUUGCAAAACUAGAUCGCUUCUUUCGAUUUUGCAGAUUUGGUCCGAAUUUUUAGUAAGUUUCAAAUACUCUAGAUCAUAUUUAAUAGUAUAGAUCGUUGAUUCGGAAGUUCUAUUAUUGAAAACAACUUAUGAGGACAAAGAGUUCUAUGCUGAUAAAGUAUAGUUGUAAUGACCCGAUCCGCUAGCAACAAUAACUCGUUGGGCCCAAACCAUCGGCCCAAAAUGCUUAAGCACGGUUAUUAUUAGUAGCGUGUAGGCCUCAUAUAAACUGAUCGGAAUCAGAUCCCAUCCGAUGUGGGACUAUUGGGGGCGUUACAAGCUCCCCUUGUUUAGACCCUGACGUCCUCGUCGGGUCCAAACCAGAUCACAGACAGACAGACCAGAGGCGAUGUGAGAUUCUAGAGGUGGCUCCUACAGGUCUCGUUUAUGACGCUGUUAGCAUAUACAUCAUUUAAGUUCUAUGUCAAAAGAUAAGAACAUAAAGGGAAUUCAC